GACGAACGCUGGCGGCGCGCUUAACACAUGCAAGUCGAGCGAGAACCAGGGCUUCGGCCCUGGGGACAGCGGCGAACGGGUGAGUAUCACGUGGAUAACCUGCCCUCGGCACCGGAAUAGCCCGGGGAAACUCGGAUUAAUGCCGGAUAGCCCCACAGCCCCUCGGGGCGGUGGGCAAAGGUAGCUUCGGCCUCUGGCCGAGGAUGGGUCCGCGGCGGAUUAGCUUGUUGGCGGGGUAAUGGCCCACCAAGGCGACGAUCCGUAGCUGGUCUGAGAGGACGAUCAGCCACACUGGGACUGAGACACGGCCCAGACUCCUACGGGAGGCAGCAGUGGGGAAUCUUGCGCAAUGGGCGAAAGCCUGACGCAGCGACGCCGCGUGCGGGAAGAAGGCCUUAGGGUUGUAAACCGCUUUCAGGAGGGACGAAGCCACUCGGGUGAACAGCCCAGAGGGUGACGGUACCUCCAGAAGAAGCCCCGGCUAACUACGUGCCAGCAGCCGCCGUAAAAC
rnacentral:rRNA from 1 species